GAACGCACAUUGCGCCCCUUGGUAUUCCGAGGGGCAUGCCUGUUCGAGCGUCAUUAUCACCCCUCAAGCCUAGCUUGGUGUUGGGGCCCGCCCGUCAGGGCAGCCCUUAAAAUCAGUGGCGGCGCCGUCAGGCUCUAAGCGUAGUAAUACUCCUCGCUAUAGAGCCCUGGCGGACUCUUGCCAAAACCCCUAAUUUUUUAUGAUUGACCUCGGAUCAGGUAGGGUUACCCGCUGAACUUAAG
rnacentral:misc_RNA from 1 species